rnacentral:rRNA from 1 species
AUUGAACGCUGGCGGCAGGCUUAACACAUGCAAGUCGAGCGGGGUGAUGGUGCUUGCACUAUCACUUAGCGGCGGACGGGUGAGUAACGCUUAGGAAUCUGCCUAUUAGUGGGGGACAACAUCUCGAAAGGGAUGCUAAUACCGCAUACGUCCUACGGGAGAAAGCAGGGGAUCACUUGUGACCUUGCGCUAAUAGAUGAGCCUAAGUCGGAUUAGCUAGUUGGUGGGGUAAAGGCCUACCAAGGCGACGAUCUGUAGCGGGUCUGAGAGGAUGAUCCGCCACACUGGGACGGAGACACGGCCCAGACUCCUACGGGAGGCAGCAGUGGGGAAUAUUGGACAAUGGGGGGAACCCUGAUCCAGCCAUGCCGCGUGUGUGAAGAAGGCCUUAUGGUUGUAAGCACUUUAAGCGAGGAGUAGGCUCUUUCGGUUAAUACCCAAGAUGAGUGGACGUUACUCGCAGAAUAAGCACCGGCUAACUCUGUGCCAGCCGCCGCGGUAA